rnacentral:tRNA from 1 species
GAAAUAUGAAAUUCUCAAAUAAAAGCUGCUAACUUUUUAUUUUAAUAAAUAAAUUUAUUAAUAUUUCU